CGAAAGCCUGACGGAGCAACGCCGCGUGAGGGAAGAAGGUCUUUGGAUUGUAAACCUCUUUUCUCAAGGAAGAAGUCAGUGACGGUACUUGAGGAAUCAGCAUCGGCUAACUCCGUGCCAGCAGCCGCGGUAAUACGGGGGAUGCAAGCGUUAUCCGGAAUUAUUGGGCGUAAAGCGUUCGUAGGCGGUUUUAUAAGUCUGCUGUCAAAGUGCGGAGCUCAACUCCGUAAGAGCAGUGGAAACUGUGAGACUUGAGUGUGGUAGGGGUAGAGGGAAUUCCCAGUGUAGCGGUGAAAUGCGUAGAUAUUGGGAAGAACACCGGUGGCGAAAGCGCUCUACUGGGCCAUAACUGACGCUGAGGGACGAAAGCUAGGGGAGCG
rnacentral:rRNA from 1 species